GACGAACGCUGGCGGCGCGCCUAACACAUGCAAGUCGAACGAGCAAAGAGGAGCUUGCUUCUCUGAGCGAGUGGCGAACGGGUGAGUAACGCGUGAGGAACCUGCCUCAAAGAGGGGGACAACAGUUGGAAACGACUGCUAAUACCGCAUAAGCCCACGGGUCGGCAUCGACCAGAGGGAAAGGAGCAAUCCGCUUUGAGAUGGCCUCGCGUCCGAUUAGCUAGUUGGUGAGGUAACGGCCCACCAAGGCGACGAUCAGUAGCCGGCCUGAGAGGGUGAACGGCCACAUUGGGACUGAGACACGGCCCAAACUCCUACGGGAGGCAGCAGUGGGGAAUAUUGCACAAUGGGGGAAACCCUGAUGCAGCAACGCCGCGUGAGUGAAGAAGUAUUUCGGUAUGUAAAGCUCUAUCAGCAGGAAAGAAAAUGACGGUACCUGACUAAGAAAGCCCCCGGCUAACUAACGUG
rnacentral:rRNA from 1 species